GUAUAUGAAGGCGAUCUGACUGUGACAUGUGUCACCCCAUUGAUUGCCAGCGUUGAUUCAACUGAUCUGGCUGGCUUGGCGGGUGUCCCUCUCCUCCCGCACAACUCCAUGUUCCUCCCUCCUGAAGCCGUGUGCUCGGUCAAAGAGGAUGGCCAUCCCCAAUAGAAGGGGACCGUUGUUCAGUCAAGGAUAUACAAGUAGCUGUGCUCCCCUGCUAGAACCUCCAAACAUGCUCUUAAAAAUUGGCAGGGGGCUCAGCCUCAUGACUUGGUUCCA
ensembl:misc_RNA 7SK 7SK RNA